rnacentral:tRNA from 1 species
GCACGGUUAGCUCAGUGGCAGAGCACAGGCGGGCCCGAGAAAACAGACCUAAGCGCGUGGGUUCAAUUCCCACACCGUGCAACA